UGCCUUAGUAACGGCGAGUGAAGCGGCAAUAGCUCAAAUUUGAAAGCUGGCCCCUUYGGGGUCCGCGUUGUAAUUUGUAGAGGAUGAUUCGGCGAGGGCUCCCGUCUAAGUCCCCUGGAACGGGGCGUCAUAGAGGGUGAGAAUCCCGUAUGUGAUGGGUUGCCUUAGCCAUGUGAAUCUCCUUCGACGAGUCGAGUUGUUUGGGAAUGCAGCUCUAAAUGGGAGGUAAAUUUCUUCUAAAGCUAAAUACCGGCCAGAGACCGAUAGCGCACAAGUAGAGUGAUCGAAAGAUGAAAAGCACUUUGGAAAGAGAGUUAAAAAGUACGUGAAAUUGUUGAAAGGGAAGCGCUUGCAGCCAGACUUGUCCGCAGUUGCUCAGCCGGUCUCCUGACCGGCGUACUCUUCUGCGGCCAGGCCAGCAUCAGUUCGGGCGGUCGGAUAAAGACCUCGGGAAUGUAGCUCCUCUCGGGGAGUGUUAUAGCCCGGGGUGGAAUGCGGCCAGCCUGGACUGAGGAUCUCGCUUCGGCUAGGAUGCUGGCGUAAUGGCUGUAAGCGGCCCGUCUUGAAACACGGACCAAGGAGUCUAACAUCUAUGCGAGUGUUUGGGUGUCAAACCCAUACGCGUAAUGAAAGUGAACGGAGGUGGGAACCCUCACGGGUGCACCAUCGACCGAUCCUGAUGUCUUCGGAUGGAUUUGAGUAUGAGCAUAGCUGUUGGGACCCGAAAGAUGGUGAACUAUGCCUGAAUAGGGUGAAGCCAGAGGAAACUCUGGUGGAGGCUCGCAGCGGUUCUGACGUGCAAAUCGAUCGUCAAAUUUGGGUAUAGGGGCGAAAGACUAAUCGAACCAUCUAG
rnacentral:rRNA from 1 species